GUUUGAUCAUGGCUCAGAUUGAACGCUGGCGGUAACUUUUAAACAUGCAAGUCGAGCGGUAACAGACAUAAGGAUUCAGCUUGCUGAAUCUGGUGCUGACGAGCGGCGAACGGGUGAGUAACGCGUAGGAAUCUACCCAGUAGCGGGGGAUAGCCCGGGGAAACUCGGAUUAAUACCGCAUACGCCCUAAGGGGGAAAGGGGGCAGGUUGCUGCUCUCACUAUUGGAUGAGCCUGCGUAAGAUUAGCUAGUUGGUGGGGUAAAGGCCUACCAAGGCAACGAUCUUUAGCUGUUCUGAGAGGAUGAUCCCCCACACUGGUACUGAGACACGGACCAGACUCCUACGGGAGGCAGCAGUGAGGAAUAUUGCGCAAUGGAGGAAACUCUGACGCAGCCAUGCCGCGUGCAGGAAGACUGCCCUAUGGGUUGUAAACUGCUUUUAUAUAGGAAGAACUACAGCUACGUGUAGCUGUUUGACGGUACUAUACGAAUAAGGACCGGCUAACUCCGUGCCAGCAGCCGCGGUAAUACGGAGGGUCCAAGCGUUAUCCGGAAUUAUUGGGUUUAAAGGGUCCGUAGGCGGGUUAUUAAGUCAGUGGUGAAAUCCUACAGCUCAACUGUAGAACUGCCAUUGAAACUGUUAACCUUGAGUAUAAUUGAAGUGGGCGGAAUGUGUCAUGUAGCGGUGAAAUGCUUAGAUAUGACACAGAACACCGAUUGCGAAGGCAGCUCACUAAGUUAUAACUGACGCUGAGGGACGAAAGCGUGGGUAGCGAACAGGAUUAGAUACCCUGGUAGUCCACGCCGUAAACGAUGUACACUCGUUGCUGGCGAUACACAGUCAGUGACCAAGCGAAAGUGUUAAGUAUACCACCUGGGGAGUACGCUCGCAAGAGUGAAACUCAAAGGAAUUGACGGGGGCCCGCACAAGCGGUGGAGCAUGUGGUUUAAUUCGAGCAGAACCUUACCAACACUUGACAUGUUCGUCGCGACUUUAAGAGAUUAAAGUUUUCGGUUCGGCCGGACGAAACACAGGUGCUGCAUGGCUGUCGUCAGCUCGUGUCGUGAGAUGUUGGGUUAAGUCCCGCAACGAGCGCAACCCUCACUUUUAGUUGCCAUCAUUAAGUUGGGCACUCUGAAAGAACUGCCAGUGAUAAGCUGGAGGAAGGUGGGGAUGACGUCAAGUCCUCAUGGCCCUUACGUGUUGGGCUACACACGUGCUACAAUGGUAUCUACAACAGGAAGCAAAACUGCGAAGUUAAGCAAAUCCUUAAAAGAUACCUCAGUUCGGAUUGCACUCUGCAACUCGAGUGCAUGAAGCUGGAAUUACUAGUAAUCGUGGAUCAGCGUGCCACGGUGAAUGCGUUCCCGGGUCUUGUACACACCGCCCGUCACACCAUGGGAGUUGGUUCUACCUUAAGGCAAAGUUUAAAACCUUUGACCACGGUAUAGUCAGCGACUGGGGUGAAGUCGUAACAAGGU
rnacentral:rRNA from 1 species